CGGCGCUGACGUGUCCGGGCGGGCGGUGGCGGCUCCUCCCGGCGCCGGCAGCCACUCGUCGCUGCGAGAGAGGGGCGGGGUGGCCGGGGCCGCGCUCUCCGGGGCCAGCUCGCGGCCCGCCCCGCCGCCCCGGCCCCCCGGAUGAGGGUAUAUAUUCGGAGCUGGCGCGGGACGCCUAGGAGUGGCUGCACGGAGCCGGAGCCGGGCGGAGCCGCGAUCACGCUGAGGGAGGUUUACAGGCCCAGAGAUUAUACCUCUGUCUUCACCACCACCAGAGCAUUAUGAAUGUUAAUGAUCUCAAAGUCAGGUUGUCCAAAGCUGGACAGGAACACCUGCUACAGUUCUGGAAUGAGCUGGAUGAAGCCCAACAGGUAGAACUUUAUGCAGAGCUCCAGGCCAUGAACUUUGAGGAGCUGAACUUCUUUUUCCAGAAGGCCAUUGAAGGAUUUAACCAGUCGUCUCAGCAAGAGAAAAUGGAUGCCCGCAUGGAACCUGUCCCUCGAGAGGUGUUGGGCAGUGCCACCAGGGACCAAGAUCGGCUGCAAGCCUGGGAGAGUGAAGGACUUUUCCAGAUUUCUCAGAACAAAGUGGCAGUUCUCCUUCUAGCUGGCGGGCAGGGGACGAGACUUGGUGUUGCAUAUCCCAAGGGAAUGUAUGAUGUUGGUUUGCCGUCUCACAAGACGCUUUUUCAGAUUCAGGCGGAGCGUAUCCUGAAGCUUCAACAGUUAGCUGAAAAAUACCAUGGCAGCAAAUGUAUCAUUCCAUGGUAUAUAAUGACCAGUGGCAGAACAAUGGAAUCUACAAAGGAAUUCUUCACAAAGCACAAGUACUUUGGUUUGAAAAAAGAGAAUGUAAUCUUUUUUCAGCAGGGAAUGCUCCCUGCUAUGAGUUUUGAUGGGAAGAUUAUUUUGGAAGACAAGAACAAGGUUUCUAUGGCUCCAGAUGGGAAUGGUGGUCUUUAUCGGGCGCUUGCAGCCCAGAAUAUCGUGGAGGACAUGGAACAGAGAGGCAUUUGGAGCAUUCACGUCUACUGUGUUGACAACAUCCUAGUGAAAGUGGCAGACCCCCGGUUCAUUGGCUUCUGCAUCCAGAAAGGAGCAGAUUGUGGUGCAAAGGUGGUAGAGAAAACGAACCCUACGGAGCCCGUGGGAGUGGUUUGCCGAGUGGACGGAGUCUACCAGGUGGUGGAAUAUAGUGAGAUCUCCCUGGCAACAGCUCAGAAACGAAGCUCGGACGGGCGACUGCUGUUCAACGCGGGGAACAUUGCCAACCACUUCUUCACUGUCCCGUUUCUGAGAGAUGUUGUCAAUAUUUAUGAACCUCAGUUGCAGCACCAUGUGGCUCAAAAGAAGAUUCCCUACGUGGAUUCCCAGGGGCAGUUAAUUAAGCCAGACAAACCAAAUGGAAUAAAGAUGGAAAAAUUCGUCUUUGACAUCUUCCAGUUUGCAAAGAAGUUUGUGGUGUAUGAAGUACUACGUGAAGAUGAGUUUUCCCCGCUGAAGAACGCGGACAGUCAGAACGGGAAGGACAAUCCUACUACCGCGCGACACGCCCUGCUGUCCCUUCAUCACUGCUGGGUCCUCAACGCGGGGGGCCACUUCAUAGACGAAAACGGCUCUCGCCUCCCAGCCAUUCCUCGCAGUGCUACAAAUGGGAAGUCAGAGACCAUCACAACUGAUGUCAAUCUCAACUUGAAGGAUGCCAACGAUGUACCAAUUCAGUGUGAAAUCUCUCCUCUUAUCUCCUAUGCUGGAGAAGGAAUAGAAAGUUACGUGGCAGAUAAAGAAUUCCACGCGCCUUUAAUCAUUGAUGAGAACGGAGUCCAUGAGCUGGUGAAGAACGGCCUAUGAACUGGAGACUAAGUUCCACCACAAUUUGUGAGGUUUGAGUUCUCCAUCAGAACGGGCUCCGAGUGGAUUGUGAGGACAGAACUGCUCAGCGUUAGCACCUGAAUGGUACGCUUCAUUUCCUUUUUCCUGGACCUUCAUCUGCGGUUUCCUCUCUCCCCAUCUUUAGGCUCCUAUGGCUAAUUUCAGGAAGGGGAGGAUGGGCAGGAUGGGGGCAGUGGUGUUACUGGAGAGGAGCGGCGGCUGAGGGACACUGGGUGCAGUGAGAGCAAAGGGUCUGGGAGCCACUGAGCUGUGACGUUACGAGGUGGCUGCAUUAUACACCUUUACAAGUCCUUGGUAAAUAAUUGUUCUAAUUCAGAAAAUACAGAAUUGGGUAAAAUGGUUAUAAAAACAUGAACUAGACUCAUUUGGCAACAGUGUGGUAGAAUUUACAUGAGAGUUAAUAAUCACUUUGAGUGUCAUUGAAAUCACCCUUGCAAGUAUGUUAAUAACUUUACUGAUAGUCACAGAUGAACAUAUAAGCCAAAUAGGCUGUGUUAUUUGAAUAUUUGAUUUUUGUUCCUCAAUUUCCCUCUUGCUUCUUGAAAUUGAUGCAGUUUUGGUAUCUAAAAAGGAAUUACUAGGGAUAUCUACAGAAAGAUGAACAAAAAUAAUUUUAUGUUCAAUCUAGCCCUUCUUUUCCCCAGUUUGAAUUGUUAUUGGUAACAACGUGGGUUCAUUGCUAACCGCAGCUUACUAUCUGCAGUGUUUCCUCUUGGUGAUUCAUCACGGCACAGUCAGAUCUCAGUUAUCUAGGUAAAACGAGGCGAGGACAAACACAUAAUCCAAGAGAGUGACUAAAACACAAGCCAUUCAGUUGACUUGGAAGUGUAGUUUCCUACUAGACGAGACUGAUGCUUUUGCAGUUCAUGGCCCUCCAGAGAGCCCCAGUUUGGGAAAGGCAUGCUGGGAAGUGAUGGAGUGAGUCAGCCAAAGAGGUCUGAGUGCCUGUCACAUGCCCAGCACUCCCUGGGAUAAAAGCACAGAGCCCUCUCCUUACACGGCUUGCGUUCUGGUUCAGGGGAUAAAAGUAACCCCCUUAAAUAACGCAAGGAUGAUUUAGUACCAAAAUGCAAGGAAGCAAGGUCAGUGGGAGGUGAACAAGGGUCAUCGUUAUGGACUGGAGUUUGGUACGGCAGAACUUCUCCACGACAAACCCUGUUAUCUUGAGAGAGGGGAUGUUAGGGUCAGAAGUUUCUGUUCCAACAAGAAGACAUACCUUAAUAGUUCUACCAUGUCUUAUGAAAGACCAGUGAGGUUUUUACUCAUCAGAACCAUGUUUCGCUCAUAGUAAGCUCUCAAAUAAUUUGGCUCUGAUUCUAUUGGAUUUAGUUGCCUUAAAAUCAAACGUGUAUUGUGAUUCAGAUAUGGAUUAUUAAUGGGAGUUGGCGAUUGUGGGGAGGAGGGGUUACUUAGCCGCAUCCAGUUGCCAGGUGAGCAGACCUGUAACGGUGAUUUUUCCAAGUGUGGUCCCCUGACCGGGUACAUCAGUGUCACCUGGAAACUUGUUAGAAACACACAUUCUCAGAAUCACUCCGUUAUGCAUUUGUGGGUGGGGCCUAGAAACUUCUAUUCUGACACGCCCUCCAGGUGAUUCCGAUGUAUACCAAAGUUUGGGAACCAUUGCUCUAAGAAGGCUAACCAAAAGGUCAGGGGCAGUACCAAAAAGAACAUACCCUAGGGGAAACAGGCCCGUGUGUGUAGAGCAAGAAUAGGGGAAGCCAGACACCAAAUAGAUCUGGCUUAGGUGAGCUUUAUUCUUUAAAAGACGGAGGGAAUGGUGGCGGUGGUGGUAAGAGUAGAAGACGGAGCUAGAGAGACCUGACCUGGACGCUUGUACUUGCGAAGGACAAUGGUUUCUAAACCCUUUGGAUUCUCUGGAUUGCUUGGAGAGAUUUAAAAAAAAAACAAAAAAAAACAAAAAAACAAAAACAACUCCAGUUCUAGAGAUUGUGAUUCUCAGUCUGGUGGAAGGCCUGGGUACCUAAUUUGUAAAAAAGCACUGGAUGAUUCUAGCAAGCAUUUAGGAGUGAGAAUCACUGACUUGCGGGUAGAGACUUAGCGAAGGGUGAGGGGAACAAGAGUCUGGAUGUGUUCUGGCUUUGAAAAAUCAGACAAGGGAGGCCAAAGAUGAAGAACAUAUCAUUUGAGAGGAAGAGCGCAAACAGAAGCACAAACAGGUGGGCAGGGCCAGGGAACAUGCAUCCUGGGGACGAUUCCACUUUGCAAACGCCUCAGAUUGCUAGAAAGAGCCACCCUACACUGGGUUCUUCUUAAAUUUUAUCCCUCUCCAAUUCAGAGCGUUUCUUCCAGCUAGAGUGAGGGUAGUAGGGGAAACAAAGUUAAGGAAUAAUUUGGUUUAAAAAUAAGAGUUUCAGGGGCGCCUAGGUGGCUCAGUCAGUUGAGCGUCUGGCUCUUGAUUUUGGCCCCAUUCACGAUGUCACAAUUGUGGGAUGGCGUCCACAUUGGGCUCACACUGAUUGUGGAACCUGCUUGAGAUUCUCUCUCCCUCUUCUCCUCUACCCCGCUCGCUCACCCUCUGUAAAAUAAAAAAUAAAUAAAAAUAGGAGUUUAGUCUGAAUGAGAAAUAAAAAGUAAAAAUGUGGUAAGGUGAUGGCAUUAUGGGUGGGUUUUUCUUCUGUAUUUCAUAAAUUUUUGGAUGAUGCAUUCUUAGUAAUUUUAUGAUAAAAAGUUUUAUCCUUUAUAAAGUCUCAAAGGAUGAAUAAACCAAGCGUAUUCACAUUGACCAGUUAGGUGCUUCUGUGAGAGAACUCAGAGGUAACAUUGGCUGUGAUGAGGUCCGCAGAGUGUAGACGUACCUUCAGAUAACGGAGUGUGGACAGCGCACCAUUGGAGUGUAAGGCACCGUGGUCUUUGUAUGCUGUUAUCUCUCACCUUGGCCAUUACUUGGAGCUUCCUCCUUUGCGAUGCAUGAUAAUGUCUUAAUUUGGAGGGAUGUGUGAAGCAAAUGUCUGGUACGAAAGCCUUUCUGCGAGGCUGAACAGGAGUCCUCUGGUGGAAUAUACGAAUUAGUAUCUGCUUACUCCCUCUUAAAGAUGAGAGGCUAAGAGGCUUGCCAGAAGCUCAGUGAGUCAGUGGUGACACCAAAUAUGUUUAUGUAGACAUAGUGUUUUCAAACUUCUGAACCGAGUUAGAAGACAACGUAAGAACAGAAAGUCUAUUAUUAUAGUUGUGUGACUCACUGUUUCCACAUCAGCUCUCUCAUUUCUAUCUCAGUAAUUCUUCUCAGAAAGUGUUCCUUCUUAGAUUUUUUUCUAGUGGGCACAUUUUUUUGUUUUGUUUAGUUUUGUUGUACAGAAUGAUGUGUAGAACUCGUACAUAUUCUAUACAGCAAAAUAUAGACUAACGUAGGUGAUGUGUAUGAGAUCGAAAUGGGACUUGAUAAAUUUCCUUUUAAAGUUUAAAAUUUCUCCUAAUUUAUGUACUUCUAAGAGGUCUGAAAUUUGACAAAGAGAUUAUUACUAUCAUUUUUUAAAAUUUUUACUGAAAUUCUAGUUAGUUAACAUACAGUGCGAUAUUGGUUUCAGGAGGAGAAUUCAGUGAUUCAUCACUUACAUGUGAUACCCGGUGCUCAUCACAAGUGCCCUCCUUAGUACCCAUCACCCGUUUAGCUCAUCCCCCACCCACCUUCCCUUCAGCAACGCUGAAGUUUGUUCUCUGUAUUUAAGAGUCUCUUAGGGUUUGUUUCCCUCUGUCUUCUUUUUCCCUUUCCCAUAUGUUCAUCUGUUUUUUUGUUAAAUUCCACAUAUGAGUGAAAUCAUACGAUAUUUGUCUUUCUCUGACUCACUUAUUUUCCUUAGCAUAAUACACUCUAGCUCCAUCCACAUUGUUGCAAAUGGCAAGAUUUCAUUCCUUUUGAUGGCUGAAUUAUAUUCCAUUUGUGUGUGUGUGUGUGUGUGUGUGUGUGUGUGUAUGUACACAUACGUACCAUCUUUAUCCAUUCAUCAGUUGACGGACAUUUGGGCUCUCUCCAUAGUUUGGCUAUUGUUGAUAGUGUGGCUAUAAACAUUGGGUUGCAUGUACCGCUUCGAAUCUGUAUUUUUAUAUUCUUUGGGUAAAUAUCUAAUAGUGCAAUAGCUAGAUCGUAGGGUAAUUAUACUUUUAACUUUUUGAGGGACCUCCAUAUUGUUUUCUGGUGUGGCUGCACCAGUUUUCAUUCCAACAAUGCAAGAAGGUUUCCUUUUCUCUGCAUCCUCGCCAAUACCUGUUGUUUCUGGUGUCGUUAAUUUUAGCCAUUCUUACAGGUGUGAGGUGGUAUCUCAUCAUGGUUUUGAUUUGUAUUUCCCUGAUGAUGAGUUAUGUUGAACAUUUUUUUCAUGUGUCUGUUAGCCAUCUGGAUGUCUUCUUUGGAAAAGUGUCUAUUCAUAUCUUCUGCCCAUUUCUCCACUGGAUUAAUUGUUUUUUGGGUGAUGAGUUUGAUAAGUUCUUUAUAGAUUUUGGAUGUUAACCCUUUACUUGAGAUGUCACUUGCAAAUAUCUUCUCCCAUUCCACAGGCUGCUUUUUAGUUUUGUUGAUUGUUUCCUUCAGUGUGCAAAAGCUUUUAUCUUGGUGAAGUCCCAGUGGUUCAUUUUUGCUUUUGUUUCCCUUGCCUCUGGAGAUGUGUCUAGUAAGUUGCUAUGGCUGAGGUCACAGAGGUUACUGCCUGUGUUCUCCUCUAGGAUUUUGAUGGUUUCCUGUCUCACAUUUAGGACUUUGAUCCAUUUUGAAUUUAUUUUUGUGUAUGGUGUAAGAAAGUGGUCCAGUUUCAUUCUUGUACAUGUUGCUGUCCAGUUUUCCCAACACCAUUUGAAGAGAUGGUCUCUUUUCCAUUGGGUAUUCUUUCUUGCUUUGUCAAAGAUUAGUCGACCAUAUAGUUGUGGGUCCAUUUCUGGGUUUUGUAUUCUGUUCCAUUGAUCUAUGUGUCUGUGGUUGUGCCAAUAUCAUAUUGUCUGAUGAUUACAGCUUUGUAAUGCAGCUUGAAAUCCAUAAUUGUGAUGCCCCCAGCUUUGCUUUUCUUUUUCAGGAUUGCUUUGGCUAUGUGGGGUCUUUUGUGGUUCCAUACAAAUUUUAGGAUUGUUUGUUCUCACUCUGUGAAAGAUGCUGGUGGUAUUUUGAUGGGGAUUGUGACAAAGACAUUAAAUCUCCUGAACAUAACAUAGUGAGUAUCAAGUAAAGAUACCAUGGCUAAUACCUUACGAUGGCACUUAACCGUGUGCUGGGCAUUGCUUGAAGCACUUUAUCUACAUUGUCUCAUUGAAUCCUUACUACUUUCCUAUGAAGUAUGAACUUCUGUUGUCCAGUCCAUAAACUAGUAAGAAGCAGGGCUGGAAAUUGAACCCAAUGUCUGAAUCCAGAGACUUACUCUUUUUCAUUUUUUUUUAUUUAAAAAUUUUAAAUAUACACAAGAGUAGAGAACAGAAUAACAGCCCUCUGUUACUUAGUUUCUAACAAUUAACUUCGGCUAAUCCUGUUUCAUUUAAUUCCCACCUCCAAUGCCCCCAUGGAAUUAUUUCAUAAUCAGUUCAUCGUGUUGGAUGUAAUACUGCAGUAUACAUCUAAGAGCUAGGUGUGUGUGUGUGUGUGUGUGUGUGUGUGUGUGUGUGUGUAUCCACACAACUUAAAAACCUUAAUAAUUAAUAAUGAUUCCUUUUGUCAUCUGCCAUGCAUUGAAUGUUUGUGGUCCCCCCACCCCCGCCCUCAGUUCCUAUGUUGAAUGCUAACCCAAUGUGAUAAUACUAGAAGGUGGGUUGGGAGGUGAUUAGGUCACGAAGGUGGAGUCCUCAUAAAUAGAAUCAGUGUACUUAUAAAAGAGACCCCGAGAGUUCCCUUACCGCUUCCACCUUUGGAGGAUAUGGCAAGAUGACCACCAUCCAUCUGUGAAUCAAGAAGCAGAAACUCACCAGACACCAAAUCUUCCGUGAUCUUGGACUUCCCAGCCAUCAGUACCGUGUGAAAUAAAGUUCUGUUUUGAAGUCCCUCA